ACCAUGAUUUUCAAGUAAGUAUAAAACGUUCCGACUGAGCCUUCACUUACAAGUUCACUAAUGACAUUAUGUUUAGUACGUAAUGUCUUCUUAGAAGACACAAUUUAUUUACAUCAUUAUGAAAGGUUAGCUCAUCGAGUAAAUGCAGAAGUGUAAUCUGAUCAAUGUACGCUUUUGUCUCGUAUCGAAAAUGAAGGGGAAAACAUCACAUGGCUGCUAUGGGCAGUGCAUGGAAUGAGUCAAUGAUGCCAUUGAUGCAGUGAAUUCUUAUUCUCGUGAUAAUGAUAUUUUGUACUUGUCUUUUCAAACAAUAUUGAAUUUAUUCACACAAAUGAUAAAAUAGCUCAAAAUCAUGCACAUUUGUCAUUGACUGAAAAAAUAGGUCCCAUGUUUAUGAUUUUUGAAAUAUGAGAUUAUGUCUUACCUACAAUCUUGAUGUAAUGUUAGGUGAUGUGCAGUGUAAAAUAACAUGAUAAAAAGGCUUUUUGUAAAAAAAAAAGAAAAAGACAGUUGACCAAUUCUCAUAUUAUUUUUAUUUUCUGAAACAUUAUUGAGGCCCCUGCAUGAUUCUUGUUUACAGCACACAUUCACAUAUUAGUUUUUGUUCGGAAGUAAAGUAUAAGGAAGGUCCAUGAAAUUUGAGAAAUGUCUAUAAAAUUCACAUGUAAGUUGAAUACUGUCAGACGAGUGAUUUGUUAUCUCAAUAGGUUUUUAAUAACCGCCAAAGGAACAGACUGGAGUUUCCAUCAAUAGGCAGUCAAAAUGUACAACCUAAGUCAAUUAACACUUGGCAGCAUAACCUUUUGAUCCAGAUGCACUAAAAGAUAACUGUGAUGCUGAAACCAUCUAGCUGGGCUGAGAUUCACAUCUGUAUUUAAUUCGGCCACAUGUCAACAAGACUGAAAUGUUUAUACUUGAGCUGCUAUUAUAGACCUACAUGGUCAGAAUUUUACCAAAUGAAAGCCACAGAUGGUCAAAAGAUUGAAGUUCACAGGGAAAAAAACCGAAGAAACAUUUGUGUCGGAACCUCCCUUAAGAUUCUAAGCACUGCUGUAUGAACAGACCUGCAGCAUGCAUGUUCAUGAUAUACUUUUUUGAGAAACUUUGUCAUACUAAAUCUGUUUUUCCCUGAUUCAGUGUGCCCUUAUAUGCGUUUAAUAAGUUUAAGCUUGCAAAAGUUUAGCACUGAUACAAGUAAAUUGUCAUUUUUGUCACACCUUUUUCUAGAUUUUUUUUCAAUGUUAAAAAUUCCUGUGUGUGUGUUCAGACAGGAAGUUUGGACUGUUAAUUGUCGAUCAGAUUCUUAAUUUACAGAAAUUGGAUUAUAUGUAUCUCAUUAUGUUCCACUUUCCAGUAUAUUUUAAAUGAAAGGGAGAGAUCAGUCCAUGGAUUUUUUUGAUAUAGGCAAACCUUGUACAUUAUCGAUUUGUUAUUUUAAAAAAGUCAGAGGAAAUUCAGAUGUUUAAUGUGCACUUUUCUUCACCUGAACUGUGUAAAUAUGUCAGUGUUAUUUUCUUAAUCAUGUUUAUUAGGUAUACAUAUUACAUCUUUUAAAAAAUUAUGAAAAUUUUGAUAUCACGAUAUUGGGUAAUUAAUUUAACGCACCAAGUAUCAAUUCAAAAGUUUAAGGUUUAAAAAAAAAAAGAGGAAAUUUGGAAUGUAAAUGUUAAAUAUCUUGAAAGUUUUACAUUAAUUUUCCUUCAAAGUAUUAUAUAAAGUUAGUUUUUAACAUAUUUAAUUAAAUAAAUUGAUAAUUGAUUACUUUUGAUUGAUUUUAAUAGCCUUAAUUGCCAAUAUAUGUAAUUCGUGGUAAUUAUUAAAAAUAGACCAGAGGAAAUGCGGAUUAGCAUAUCUUUUUAUUUGGCUCAUGACCAUACCAAUUUCUGCCCUCCAUUACUUAGCUAUAUAUCUCUCAUCCAAAAUAAAGUUUAGAUAAUAAAUAUCCAAUUACUUUUAGAGUGGGUUUAUAGCGAUUUUUGUUCUCAAGGUUAAGAAAAAAUGCACAAUUUUUAAGAAGACAGAGGAAAUUCAGGCUGUCAUACAAUGUUGUUGGAAUGCAAUAUCUAUGAGUAAAUAAUAUCAAGAUAAUCUUGAUUUGUUACCCUAUUUUAUACAUGAAAAUAAAUAAAUUCUGAUUAUAAUGU